GGUUGUGCCGUCACACCUCAAACUGUAAAAGUUACAGCAACAGUGCAUAAAUGCAGUUUGUGUAUAUAUGCAUGUAUAAGAAAAAAAUAGCAGAUACUUUGGUAAAACACGUGGUUUCAGGCACUUAGUGAAGGUCUUGAAAUAUGUCCUCCAUGGAUGAGGGGGAAUUACUGUAAGCUCCUUUUCAGGUGCUUAACUUUUGGUUACAGCAUCUCUGGUGAGAAUCUCCUUCCACGUGGAUAAACAGGAUGUCUGCCUGGCUUUGAUUUUUUUCUAAAAUAGGUUCUUACUAUGUUGCCCAUGUUGAUUGCCAAGUCCUAGGCUCAAAUGAUCCUCUUGCCUCAGCUUCCUGAGUCUUGGGAUGUGGGUGUGUACCACCAUACCUGGAUCUAGACUUUACAAUUAUAUUAUCAUCUGUCACAGGUGACACACCAGGUAGCCAAGGUUUAUGAUGAUUCCCUAGUUGUGCCAUGGUUGUCCUAGUGGCCAACUCAUUCAGAAGGUGGGAAGCUGUGCAGGCUCUGGCGUGGGUUAGAGAUUGGCCGCUCUGGCCCAAGACGACCACAUUCCAGUGUACUUCCUCAUGAUGUCACAAAUGCCCUCCAGGGACAGCUGAGUUCCAGGCGCAGCUUGUCGAGCCAGAUCUGUUCCCAGCAGCCCUUUUCUCCUAUCCCAAGACUGAGGCAGGAGUCACAAGCACAGCACUCUGGCUCGCUCCCCAAGCCUUCCUGCCAUCCUCAGGGGCUGCAGAGCCAGUAGUCUGUCCUUUCCACGUUGACGUUUUCAUGCGUCUGAUGGCUUUGCUCUGCAAGAUCAAUGGUCUGCUGGAGAAAGUCUCCCUAUAACUUCUCUAAGGGAUGUGGCACAGCCCUAAUCAGGCUUCUUCCUCUAGCAGGAGAAGGGAGAGGGUCCCAGUGCCAUCAAGAGAGCCUUCAUAUACCUGGUCUUCCACAAUGGCUUCAUCUAAACACAGAGGAAAGGGCAGCCUGGCCAAGCAGGAUGGCAGGACAGAAGAGAGGACAGGAAUGAAAGUAAUGCGGUGUUCCAGAGGCAGGCCUUUGACGACACUUGGAGCCUGACCGGUGUACACUGGCUUCCACAUGUGCAGCCUCCCAGCGUGCUGGGAUGAAAGGUGCGCGUCACUACAGCCGGCUCCAUUUCUGCUGUUGAUUCGUUAUGUGACUAUGGAGCAGUUGUGUCCCCCGCCUGAGCCUCAGUUUCCCCAUCGGCGAGCUGAGCUUGUGAUGAGACCAAACCCUUCCGGCCUUGGCACUUUGCACUCCUUCAGCGAACAGGGAAACAGUGUGCUGAGGACGGAGCCCAGGGCCCGGCACAUGCUAGGUAAAUGCUCUGUCUCUGAGCUCCCUCCCCAGCCUGACAGUGACGUUUUAGAAAGAUACACACGCCAGCAGGAAGGGGAACAGGACGCGAGAUAUGAGAAAUGCCUUCAAAUACCUCAGCAACCAUAGCAAAGCGCACACCACUGCUGUCGGGCCACCUCCAUUCUCAGUACGACCUUACCGUUCACAUCAUGUUCUCCCCUCUCAUUCACCCCGUUGCUGGGCACAGUAGACUAAGUCACCCCCAUUUCACACAUGAAAAAAAGGGGGAGGGGAAGAAUCCAAAACGUCGAAUGGCCAUGUGACAAGUGGUAAGGUUGUACUGCACCGUCUGUCUUCUGGCACCUCACCUGGUGUCCCGGCUAAGGGGCCACAUCGCCCAGAUGCUCUAGAGAAGCUCUCCCUCCUCAGACGGAUGCCCAUCCCAUCCCCACAACUCUCCGAGUCCGCACUCAUCAUCCCCAGUGACUCCUCCAGGAAUCUGACUGCGACUGGUACUUCAGUGCGGAGCCUCCGGAGAGUCCUCUGGAAUCUCCGAUUCCCCACCAAGAGGACCAGGUCUCAUUUUGGCCCACGACGGGUGGGCCACGAGCAGCUCCCGACCGCUUCGCUGCCUCCACCAGGAGUAAGGGACACAGUUCCUGGGUCAACCAUGGCACCUAAGGCAUCUGCUGAGCUGCACCUCCAGAGACAGAGUCUUCGUCUAUGCCAGGGGCGGGGACUAGAUACUUGUGGGGCCAGAAGUGCGAGUGAGUCAAAUUCGGGGGGCGGGGAACCGACUACAAAUUGGGAUGCAUUUGCCCAUCUAAAGGGGGCAGAUGCUACUCAGCUUUAGCCUACUGGUGCCAACUACGGAACUCACUCACGUUUUAAAUAAUAGCUUAAGAGUUUUAUUGAUUGUGAAAUCAAAAGGUCAGGGUAUGACUGAAAAAUAAGGCGAACGUUAAAAACCUAUUUAAAACAUUUAUGACAAUAAAGACACUGCCACAGUCACCCUCGAUAUAUACCCCUGUCACUUCAAACACACUGGUCCCAUCAUUCCUGCCUCUUUCUCUAAGAGUCCUGGAAGUCCUGUUGAUGUCUUCCACUGCUCUGUCAUAGCUGCCUUCAUGUCCUGAAAUGAUUCAAAACAUUUAUCUUUCGUGGUCAUUUUGACUCUGGGGAAGAGGCAGAAGAAGCACAGGGCCAGACCCGAUGAAUAAGGUACACAAGGACGUGCUGUAAUAUCUUUAGGAGUCUGCCCUUCUGUUGGACAGCACUUGGCAGUGGAAUUUACUAAAGUUUGGAUCACACCUUGGACACUUAUGAAAGAGCACUUCCAGAAGUGCUUCAGAAAGGGGCAUGAUGGGAGGAGCGUGUUUGAAAUUAGGGGAGUAUUUUGAGGGAGAUUAAUGGCAAUGUAUCUUUGACUGUAUACAUUUUAUUUUAACUCACACUAUGUUUUGAUCAGCCCUGGCAUUAAAUCAAAAGGUAUCCAUAGACCCCUGUGUGCAGCCUCUGCCCUGAGGCCCAUUUCUUAGGCAGUGGACACUGCCUGUAGUACACAUGGAGCUGAUACUCUCUCCCAAAAACAUGUACGCUGGCAACCAGAGUUGGAGUGGGUGGAGAGGAGAGGAGGGUCGGUCUGAUCAAGAGGAAGACAGGAGUAAGCAACCACAUGACCCUAAAUUAAGCAGUACAGGGGGUGGGGAAAAAAAAGCUUGGUGUUUGGAAGUAAAUGCACACUGAAUUAUUCAAGACGGGCUCAGCCCAGGGCAGAAAUAGAAAAUAAGUCCUUGCUGUGUCCCGAUCCCACCUAAACUGAACUUGACGAUACCCUGUCACAAGACAGCUUUGAUGGAAAUGAGGAUGAUGAUCACUGAUGCCAUCCGAUGUGGUGAUUGAUAAUGUUCUCUGCUAAACCCCCACCGUGUCCUUGAAUCCCAGGAAGGUGCCUGGCGUGGGUCCAACCAUAUGGACUCUGGCUCCGGGAGCAGAGUAUUUCCUCUGGGUUAAAACUCUAAAUACAGUCGUGUGCUGCGUAACAACCUUUUUGUUGACAGUGGACCACAUAUACAAAAUAAUACCCCCACAGACAUAAAAUUAUACCCCCAGUGGCAUCACAGUCGUCUUGGUUUGUAUAAGUACAUGUUCACAUAUCAUAGGCAAAAUCACCUAAAUGAUGCAUUUCCCAGACUGUCCCCUUAUCGAGAAUGGAUGUGUGACUAUACACAUAGCUUGCCUUUGGCUCCAUGAAGUCACCCUUUCUCCGACAGCUUGUCCUUUGUGGUGGCUCUGUGACCUUGUGGUCCUACUUGACCUUGUGUCCCUAGCAUCCUAUGAGGCUUUGACUGGCUACUGCAAGACCGUAGACCCCAGCAGGGCUCAGUGUUCCCUAAACACACGCGGAAACCAAUAUUCACGAAGCUCCCAUAGACCUGGUAUUCCCCCCGCCCUUGAUAUUUGUAAUAAAACAAGGAGAUGUGGCCUUACUGCUUCCUCUUGGUGUUACCCAACUUACAAACUGUGCCAAACCUCAGUUUCCUCAUCUGUAACUGAAUGUCAAAACAGCACUCACAUUUCAUGGGGUUCCCAGUAGAAAUUAACAAAAUAAUGAAUUCAAAGUGUUUAACAGUGCUUGGCAUAUAAUAAUUUAAUACGCUGUUCGUCAUGGUGUUUUUU